rnacentral:tRNA from 1 species
GUGGGUAUAGCUCAGUGGUAGAGUGCUUAGCAGGCGCAAGGUCCUGGGUUCAAUCCCCAGUAUCUCCG